rnacentral:lncRNA from 1 species
CACAAGCAUUUCUAUUAAUGGAUAUAAGAGUCUUACAAGACGAACUACAAGGGUGAUGGCAGCGGAAAAGCUCUAUCUAAGGCAGCAUGGUCCUGGUGCGGCUCCAAUCCACAAGGAUCUGACUAGGUUACUCUUCUAGCUCGCGAAAGCUUUGGUUCCUUGUUGACGGAGGACGGAUCCUUACGUGAACCUGGCCAUGUUAAAAGCCGCUGAGUACUUUUGAAUGUACUCGCAAACAAACCAACGAACAUAUACACUAAGCAAAGCAAUCUAUGGCAUUCAAGCAUGCACUUAUUAUUAGAGCAACAUUACUUAUCAUGGCAUAGCUUACCUAUCUAGCAGAAUAAAAUAUCAUGAUAUAAUAGGAUUAACCAACAAGAUAACUACUAAAGUAAAUACGAUAAGGUAAAGCAUAUUAAGUAAAUAAUUUAUACUCCGAAUAUUCUCACGAUCCAAUCAGAAUCUGAUCCAAAUCCAAUCCAACUCAUGUGGUCAUCCGAGCACUCAUCUCAUAGCCAUCCAAUGGCUAACAUGUCAUAUACCUAAGAUCUUCCGAUGUCUGCACAAGAUGAGUUCUUCCAUCAUUAUUUCACUGAUACGGUUGACCACCUACUGAGGUCUGGACGGUCUGUCCAAUACCAUGGACGCGGCUAUUCGAAUAGAUUUGACACUCUGCAGAGGUUGCACACUUUACCCACACCAUGGAGCACUGACCUCGUGAUCCCAUUCGUGUGGACUAGUGUUGCUCCAACGAAAUUGUCAGAACCGUGACUCUUUCAUCGUACCACCAGCAUUCAUCCUCCGCUGGAGUCCUGCCCUGGGUGGCCCUGUGUCCUCAUGACACCUGCCACCGUCGUAGCCAAACUAAACUGUUCCAAACGGGGACGUGCGCACAAAACAAUUCGACUGACUCAUAGGGUUAUCACUGCCUACCUGAUCAGGGUAGCACGCGUGCAUAACCUUCCCUCUUCGGAAGUACCGGUGAAAGAGCACGCGAUCAGACCAGGUCACGACCGUCCCAUACCGGCAAAUGUGGUUGCACGGAUAAGCCCGGACAGGUGACUCUAGAUCAACAGACUACAUUUAGUGUUAGCUAGUAUUUGAUAAGCAUGGUAGUUUAUCACAAUAACUUAACAUGAUGAUAACUAUGUAUAAGAUAGCAUAGGUAAAAACACAACCACCUAUCUCCAUAUCACCAUGAGUCAAUAAUAAGGUAGGAUCUAAAGGGAAAGUUAUUACUUUACAAGUUCUAGCUGUAAAUUAGACCCCCGGAACCCUUGCAUAAAACCAGCAAAUAAACCGGUAGCCACCAGAAUGGUCUUUACAACACACAUCUGGGACAUUACCGGAAUAACUCAACCCCAUCUCAAGACGGCUGGAAAGUAGUUCAUAGCAUGAGGCCGUGUUGAUAAAGAGAAUGUUGUAGUUCCCUAUGACGGUAGAGGAACAACUUAGAGCAUAGGGUCACUGCCACGGAAUGAAAUUCAACAGUUGCCCGCGAUGGCCGAAAAGCAGCUCAAAACACGGGCCAACUGUUCACAAGAGAAAUAUAAAGUCAGCAUCCACCCCGGACGGCCGAAAGCAACUCAGGCUGAGUCGUGGUGCCGUCACUGAAGAAAGUGCGAGCAAGGGUUCGUCAACAUCUCAUAUAGCACACCACAUUGCACUCGGACAUAAGAAUUUUAAAGUAAAUAUGCAAGAACAUCAUAGAGAAAAUAUUGAGGGCAUAUAUCAGAUGGUCGGCUUGCUUGGGGUUGAAGAAUACUCUCAGAAGAGGUGCGGAGAGUCCACGGAACGAUAUGCCAGAACAGUUCUCUCUCGGAGAGGGAUGAUUGGAUGGCAAGCGUAACAUGGUCAUUUUCACAAUAGGAACACAUUGUGAAAAUGAUACCAAAAGAACGGGCUUGACGAGACGAAGAUGUGGGCGUUGGUUUCACCAGAAUCGGAGCGUGGGUCAAAAAUUUAUAGCCGUUCGAAGUUUAGGGACUAUUCUGCAAAUAAAAUAUUCACACACACGUCCCUAUGGUUGACCCGAAAGAUCACUCGGCUUAAAUAUGUUUUCACAAAAGGAAAAUGUAAACUUAGCCACAGUACCAGGAAAUAUGCUUUCUCCGACUGAAAGCGUGUUUACUGUAGUGCGCUUCCACUUAAACAACACGGCCCCGGGAGUCGACUGGGUUGUUUGACUGACGAGCGGGGCCAAGGGGAGGCGGGGCCCGCCUCGCCACGUAAUCUCCUUCUUCCUCCCGUUCGUGACAGAGGGAAGCAGCAGAGGGGCCAAG